CCUACGGGUGGCAGCAGUGGGGAAUAUUGCACAAUGGGCGAAAGCCUGAUGCAGCAACGCCGCGUGAGCGAUGAAGGCCUUCGGGUCGUAAAGCCCUGUCCGCAAGGAAGAUAAUGACGGUACCUGAGCAGGAAGCCCCGGCUAACUACGUGCCAGCAGCCGCGGUAAUACGUAGGGGGCGAGCGUUAUCCGGAAUUACUGGGAGUAAAGGGUGCGUAGGCGGGUUUUUAAGUCUGGAGUGAAAGGCCUCGGCCCAAACGGAGGAAGGCCUUUGAAACUGGGAAACUGGAGUGCAGGAGGGGAGAGUGGAAUUCCUAGUGUAGCGGUGAAAUGCGUAGAUAUUAGGAGGAACACCAGUUGCGAAGGCGGCUCUCUGGACUGUAACUGACGCUGAGGCACGAAAGCGUGGGGAGCAAACAGGAUUAGAUACCCCGGUAGUC
rnacentral:rRNA from 1 species